AAAUGAUUAGACUAUUGGCUCUGUAAUGCUUUAGUAGAUUGAAGUGAUUAGACUGUUAAUCUUUUUUACCGGAAUUUUUUAAAGACUGCGUAAUUUAUUCAAAUUAGAAGUGCAUAUAUCUGAGAACAUACAUACAGUCAAAUGCUCUACCCCUGAGUUAUACCCCUGAGAACAUAUAAAUAUUAUCUUCCAAAGCAGGCAUUGUAAAUGUCCAGAUCUUUUUAAAAAAUAUUUUAUUUGAUUGAAUAAUUUCCUUGUUGAGAUUAAAGAAUCUAAAUGUUUGGAUUUUUUAGUUUAGAUUGUAUCACUUUGAAAAUUAGUUGGAAACCCCAAUUUUAAUGAAAUUUAUUUUCUAGAGCAAGAGUGGGGUGGAUUUUUAAUGCUCAGUGUUUUAGACUCUCAAUUGCCAUAUUUCUUAUGGCAGAAGUGCACACAGUGUUUGGGGUUUGUUUUGAAAUGUAAAGAUGUACCAUGUGUAUACACUUGUGUACAUACGAAUAUAUGAAAGAGGAGAAAAGGGAUAAAAAUCAUGAAGGUGAAAAAUAUAAACAAAAGUGAACUUUAUGUGUCUCAACUCAAGCAGGUGACCAGUUUGUCAAGUUCUUCUCUGAUUUUCCCUGAUUUGGGACCAUUAUAUUUUGCUGAAUUUUAUUUAUUAUGUAUUCCAUGUCUUUUAACUAGCACUGUUCAUUAGUGCAAAAUUAAAUAUUUAUUCUAUAUCUUCUGUUGUCAAACACGCACUAUGGACACAUAGAAAAUUUUGCCCUUAGAUCACAAACUAAUGGAAUUCACACCUAUUUUGAGUAAUCUACUUUUUAAAAAGUAAGAAUAUCUGAUUUAACUCAGAGUUCGAUUUUUCUAACCUCCAAAGCACCUCCCGUGACUGUGGAAUAAAGGACAUCUUGGGGCAAGUGAGAACAUUGAUUGCCUUUAUAGAGACUAAAAUGUUAACAUUGAAGAUUCAUGGAUGAACCUAGAUUUGAGGUAAUCACUGUUUUCUAACAAAAUGUUUGGAGAUGACUUUUCUUUUUUUCUUUCUGUGAUCAUCAACUUAGAGGCAAGUCAUAAAUUUACAGAUUUUGGCCUUUGAUGUGCACUUCAAAAGAAUACUGUACAGCCAAUAAUUCUGGGUAACCCUUAAUUUAUUUGGAUUGCAGGUGAGAACUGUAAAAGCAAAAUUUUUCAAAUUUUAUGUUUUUGUACAAUAAUUUAUCCAGUUAAUUUUCUCAGGGCAUGAUCAGUGUUACCAUAUUCAUUAGGUGUUAGCAUAGAUGAGAUAUCUAAGAAUUAAGCAUUGCUGUUUUUCAGUUUAUAUGCAUAUAGCCAUACAUAUGUAUAUUUGUUUCAUUUACCACUCUUCAUGGAAAUUACAUUUGUAGGACAUUUGAAUAUUAUUUACUAAAUACCCACUUAAAAAAAAUACUGUACUGUAAACAAUUCUUCCAAAGGAAGCCUUAAAACAAUUUGAGUUCAACAAGAGUUUGCUUGUGCCUGUGUGCCUUGGCAGUUAUUUUAUAGCUUUUCUCUACUAUAUACUAUUAUGUGUCCAAGAGCAAAUUUUUUAAAACAAUUUGUAUUACUACCGUUCCAUUUGGGCCACAAGUUAAAUUGAGUGUUGUUAAGCACCUACGUUUCUUUUAAACCUUUAAAAACUUGUUAUGACAAUGUUGGUAAUCAUUUUUUACACUUCUUUAGUUUUAGUUUAGUUUGUUUAUUUAAGGAUCAGUUGUGUAUUAUUUUAGACAAAUAAGUGAAUCUCAUGUUCCCUUUCCUGAUUCUUUGGUUUCUAUGUAAAUCUAACUUUAUUUUCAGGGAAUAUCCAGGGCAAGUGAAUGAGUUAUACAUUGAUGCAGCGUCAUAUCAGCAUUGAAAUUAUAACCUUAGUCUUUCACUCCUUAAUCAGUAUUCUUUCUACUCCACUGUAUUGCCUCACCAUCUAAAACAUGAUGUCUGCACUAGGCUAAUUGAAAUAGGCUAGCCAGGUGAAAGCUGAUAAAGUGGGGCUUUGACUAAAAUAGGCUAACCAGGUGAAAGCCAUAUCAAACACAACUUUUCUCCCAUUAAUCAUCUAACUUGAAAAAGCAUAUAUUGUAAUAGCCAUAAAUUUGAUUAGUUUCACAUUUCUUUCCUCCUCAUCCUUUUAAACCAAAUGCAAGAUUAAAGCCACAAAGUGCAAGACUUAAGUGUAUAAUCUAUAAUUUGCAUACUUAAUUGCUGUUAUUUUUGUUUGGGAUCUUUCAUGUUUAUAGGGAGAAUAUCAAAUACAAUUUUUGUCUUGGACAAUGACUUUAGAGUUGUAGUUUCAAAAAAAUUACAUAGACUGCCGCCUUUCUCUUAGGAAGAUAAGACAUUAUCCCAUUUUAAAGUAACCAAAUCAAAAGGUUUUUAAGCCGACUGUCAGAUAAACAGUAUAGGGGUACUGGGGACCACCUCUCCUAGUAUAGUAUUCUUUUGAUUCUAUCACAUUGACUGUGAUUUUGUGACUUGGUGAUGCUGCUUUAGCCACGAUCACAUUCUCUUUUCUGAAAAUUCAGCUUUAGGAGAGAUUGGAGCUGUGCAUGCAGCAUUAAUUAAGAAAGAGGGCCUCCUGGCUAGCCAAUCUGAUUGGCUUAGAUGAAUCCAGGGGGAAAAAAGGAAUGACAGGUAUUGCAGCCAGAUUGCAUUUGUUCCAAGACCAAGGAAGCCAGGUGUCCUGCAAUAUAUAUAAAUGCAAAUUAAAAGUUACCACAGUUGUCUUUUGUAGUAUGGUUGAUGUAUGAGUCUACCAUUCAAGUUCAUUUUUUUUUUCUAUGACUUUCCUAGGAAAGUCUAAGAUACAUUUUUUCUUUUUCUUUCUUUUUUUUUUUUUAAAUGGUGUCUUGCUCUGUCAUCCAGGCUGGAGUGCAGUGGCAUGAUCAUAGCUCACUGCAGCCUCCAACUCCUGGGCUCAAGUGAUCCUCCCACCUCUUGUCUCCUGAGUAACGGGGGGACUACAAGCACACACUACCAUACCCAGCUAAUUUUAUUAUUAUUAUUAUUAUUAUUAUUAUUAUUAUUAUCAUCAUCAUCAUCAUUUUGAGUCAGGGUCUUGCUAUGUUGUCCAGGCUGGUCUCAAACUCCUGGGCUCAAGUGAUCCUCCCACCUCAGUCUUCUAAAUUUCAGGCAUAAGCCACUGUGCCCAACUGGUAUUUUUUAUAUCUCGUUUCUUAGGAAGAAUCAGUGUGUAUAUCAUUCAGCAAAUACCUGAGCACUCACCAACAUGCUGAGCGCUGAUUUAGGUGCAGGAUAUGUUAGCAAACAUAACAGACCAUAGUUACAUUCUAGUAAGGCAAGCAAAAGAUAAAUAUACUAAGUAAAUUUUAUGAUUUAUUAAAGGUUGAUAAAUACUAUUUGUAAAAAACCAAUGGACUUCUGGUUUCUGAUGCAGCAUGUAAGGAGCUUGAAAGUUGUCACUCUGUCCUAACAAAUAGCUAAACAAACUGAAAAUCAACAACUCUUCUUAGAUCCAUCAGAGAAUGGAGGUCACAGAGCAAACUGAAGCCCCCCAAAUUGGAGAAAGACACGUGGAUACAGAGAAUCACAACUUACUGGGAACAAGCAGAAACCUCCGUGGGAACAAAGGGCAGAGUAGGAAAAACCUAAGCUAUAAUUGAUAAACUGCUGGAAGCUCAAUGUGAACAAAUCUGAGAGUUAACUUGUUGUGGGGGAAGGUGAUGGAUAUGUUAAUUUGAUUGUAGUAAUUAUCACACAAUAUAUGUAUAUUAAAUCAUGUACACUUUGAAUAUAUUCGGUCUUGACGAAUACUUUAAAAACAAAACCUUGGAGGGGUAUCAAAAAUGGAUCCCCUCCCUUUUCUGAGUUUUAUCUCUAGGAGCCCUACCAGGUUCUCAUAGUGAAGAUUGAGAAGAAAAAAACCAAAAUCUCAUGUUUCCAGCAUGGGGAGAGGAAAAGGAACCAUUUUGAAAUACACCAGAGCAUUCUGUAUUUCUUAACAAAGCCUGGC
rnacentral:lncRNA from 1 species